CUAAGCAUGAAGCCCCCCUCAAGAUGAGAUUUCCCAACUUCGGUUAUAAGAUCCCUCAAAGAUGAUGAGGUUAAUAGGUUCGAGGUGGAAGCAUGGUGACAUGUGGAGCUGACGAAUACUAAUCGAUCGAAGACUUAAUCAAAUU
rnacentral:rRNA from 1 species